rnacentral:rRNA from 1 species
AUUGAACGCUGGCGGCAGGCCUAACACAUGCAAGUCGAGCGGAUGAAGGGAGCUUGCUCCUGGAUUCAGCGGCGGACGGGUGAGUAAUGCCUAGGAAUCUGCCUGGUAGUGGGGGAUAACGUCCGGAAACGGGCGCUAAUACCGCAUACGUCCUGAGGGAGAAAGUGGGGGAUCUUCGGACCUCACGCUAUCAGAUGAGCCUAGGUCGGAUUAGCUAGUUGGUGGGGUAAAGGCCUACCAAGGCGACGAUCCGUAACUGGUCUGAGAGGAUGAUCAGUCACACUGGAACUGAGACACGGUCCAGACUCCUACGGGAGGCAGCAGUGGGGAAUAUUGGACGAGGGGCGAAAGCCUGAUCCAGCCAUGCCGCGUGUGUGAAGAAGGUCUUCGGAUUGUAAGGCACUUUAAGUUGGGAGGAAGGGCAGUAAGUUAAUACCUUGCUGUUUUGACGUUACCAACAGAAUAAGCACCGGCUAACUUCGUG